CCCUAGUAUAAAGAAUUUUUAAGAUUAUUAUGAAUUUGAAAUUUAAAGUUUUUGGCGGUUAAUUAUUCAUUAGAGGAGCUUGUUGAAUAAAUAGAAAUUACUCUUUAUAUUUUAUUAAUUUAUGUUUAUUUAUCUCCGUUAUUAGGUGAAAAUUGAAUAAGGAUUUUUCUAAUAUUUCAGGUCAAGAUGUAGCUACAAUUAAUGGAAAUUAGCUACAAUUAUGAAAUAAUGGAUAGAAAUUUGAAAAUGAAUUGAAAUUGAAUUUAAUUGUAAUGGUGUUUAUAAUGAAAUUGUGAAUAUGUGUAAUUAAUGUA
rnacentral:rRNA from 1 species